UACGUAGGGUCCGAGCGUUGUCCGGAAUUACUGGGCGUAAAGAGCUCGUAGGUGGUUUGUCGCGUUGUUCGUGAAAACUCACAGCUUAACUGUGGGCGUGCGAGCGAUACGGGCAGACUUGAGUACUGCAGGGGAGACUGGAAUUCCUGGUGUAGCGGUGGAAUGCGCAGAUAUCAGGAGGAACACCGGUGGCGAAGGCGGGUCUCUGGGCAGUAACUGACGCUGAGGAGCGAAAGCGUGGGGAGCGAACAGG
rnacentral:rRNA from 1 species